rnacentral:rRNA from 1 species
GUAACUCUAGCAAGGAAUCGGCACACGCCACGGGGGACGGUGGUAUAAGGUGGAGCUAGUAUAGCAACAUCACGAAUCCGCUUCGGGACGCAGCCAUCUUGUAGUUGUAGCAGUGGUGCGGCAGCACGACUGCCUUGAGGAGGGGCUUCGAAACGACCUAGCCUCGGACCCCUAGCAGUAGCUCGACAUGCACACGAUUCUUGAGCCUCCACGGCCUCAUUGCCACGAACCUAGCCAGCCUAGCCCUUCUUCUGCAUGCUGAUGAAGGAGAUGCAACACAGUUACGAAGGCAACGCUAGAUGUUCCGAGGCGGCGGAGGCAGCUGUAGCGGCCGCCCGUAGGAGCGGCGACGCCUCCAUCUUGGGAGGAGGAGGGGAGGGAGAGGGACAUAGGGUAGACAGGGAUAGGUAGGGAAGAGGGAGGGCAGGGGUAGAGAAACGGCGAGCGCAACGUGAAGAAGAGACUACGCCUACCUACUUCCCCGCCGGAGGAGAUCAGUACCUGCCCUUUCUCCCGGAAGAGGUACCGAUCGUGGUUACCUAAGAAAAGGGUAGCGGAGGGGAGAGGAAAAAUCCAAGUCUAGACAGUGGUCUUGGAGGAGAAGGGGAUACCUAAACUCUACCGACCCAUCAAAAAUACAUCCAAGUCUAGACAGUAAUCGUACUUACACACUAUACAGAUCUUGUGAAACGAUCGAAUACCUACUUCCUUAAUCAUCCAUCUGUUUUAUCAAUACGUUUACCACGUCUAUCAUACUUAUUAAACACGUAUAUAAAAUAAAACAAAACUACUACGUUUACUACAUUAAUAAUGGUCACGUGUAUGGAAAUAAUUAAAUAUUUAAACACGACUUAAAUAUAUCUACCUACUGUUGGCGUAUUGGGCUCUAUGUGACUAUCACGUUCGACGACCAAACCAACGACAACACACACGGAUAUACCGGUGCUAUUGAUGUUCCCGAUCUUAAUCUUUAAUAGUAUGAGGUCAGGCAAUACAAUACGAACUCUCUCUACAUCGAUCCAACAGGUUAGAUGGAAUAUAGAUACUUUGGUUACUAUAUUUAACGGUGCUGGAUAAUUCCUACUCGUCCCGAGGUAAUUCCUACUCGUGUAGGACUUGAAAUGUUAAGACAGUACCUCGAGGGACCAAAAUGGCUCCUGCUAGAUAACUAACAGAACCCAAUAGAGUUACUCUUACGGUUGUCCCGAUCCUCGGUGAGUAAACACGUCUACAGCCUCUGAGCAGUGUGAGCAACCCAGUAAGUGGUGGACAGGUUCAAGUUGCCACUUCACAGGCACGGGUUCCUACCUUACGGGGUCCUACCUCGCGGGUUCCUACCUCACACUCGUUUAUACACGACUAAGUGUGGUUCGACUGGUAUAAAAUGACAUAAACCAGUCUUUUUAGUACGGGGAUAUAUACACUACAUACUUUACAUUGUACCUGGAAUACAAUACAAAGAAACAACCUGACAUUAUACCUGUUAUACCUAAAUACCGAUAGAUUAUAUACACUUGAGAUCCUACAUGACCUAACAUUAUACUAGUAUACCUAAACACCGAGAUACAUACACUUGAAAAUUCUAUAUGAACGUGACCUAUGAACGAAAUUAUAUACACCGAGAUAUACCUAAACACGUGAGAGAUACUAGAACCACGUAAAAAAAUUCGAUAAAACAUGGUC